rnacentral:rRNA from 1 species
UACGUAGGGUGCGAGCGUUGUCCGGAUUUAUUGGGCGUAAAGAGCUCGUAGGCGGCUUGUUACGUCGGCUGUGAAAUCCCGCGGCUCAACUGCGGGUCUGCAGCCGAUACGGGCAGGCUAGAGUUCGGUAGGGGAGACUGGAAUUCCUGGUGUAGCGGUGAAAUGCGCAGAUAUCAGGAGGAACACCGGUGGCGAAGGCGGGUCUCUGGGCCGAUACUGACGCUGAGGAGCGAAAGCGUGGGGAGCGAACAGG